rnacentral:rRNA from 1 species
AUUGAACGCUGGCGGCAGGCUUAACACAUGCAAGUCGAGCGGAGAGAGGUAGCUUGCUACUGAUCUUAGCGGCGGACGGGUGAGUAAUGCUUAGGAAUCUGCCUAUUAGUGGGGGACAACGUUUCGAAAGGAACGCUAAUACCGCAUACGUCCUACGGGAGAAAGCAGGGGAUCUUCGGACCUUGCGCUAAUAGAUGAGCCUACGUCGGAUUAGCUAGUUGGUGGGGUAAAGGCCUACCAAGGCGACGAUCUGUAGCGGGUCUGAGAGGAUGAUCCGCCACACGGAGACUGGGACAAGGCCCAGACUCCUACGGGAGGCAGCAGUGGGGAAUAUUGGACAAUGGGCGGAAGCCUGAUCCAGCCAUGCCGCGUGUGUGAAGAAGGCCUUUUGGUUGUAAAGCACUUUAAGCGAGGAGGAGGAGCUCUAGGUUAAUACCCUAGAAGCUUGGACGUUACUCGCAGAAUAAGCACCGGCUAACUCCGUGCCAGCCGCCGCCGUAA